rnacentral:rRNA from 1 species
CUGGAACCUCUCGGGGUUACAGCCUUGCUGAAUUAUUCACCCUUGUCUUUUGCGUACUUCUUGUUUCCUUGGUGGGUUCGCCCACCACUAGGACAAACAUAAACCUUUUGUAAUUGCAAUCAGCGUCAGUAACAAAUUAAUAAUUACAACUUUCAACAACGGAUCUCUUGGUUCUGGCAUCGAUGAAGAACGCAGCGAAAUGCGAUAAGUAGUGUGAAUUGCAGAAUUCAGUGAAUCAUCGAAUCUUUGAACGCACAUUGCGCCCUUUGGUAUUCCAAAGGGCAUGCCUGUUCGAGCGUCAUUUGUACCCUCAAGCUUUGCUUGGUGUUGGGCGUCUUGUCUCUAGCUUUGCUGGAGACUCGCCUUAAAGUAAUUGGCAGCCGGCCUACUGGUUUCGGAGCGCAGCACAAGUCGCACUCUCUAUCAUCAAAGGUCUAGCAUCCAUUAAGCCUUUUUUUCAACUUUUGACCUCGGAUCAGGUAGGGAUACCCGCUGAACUUAAGCAUAUCAAUAAGCGGAGGAA